AUUGAACGCUGGCGGCAUGCCUUACACAUGCAAGUCGAACGGCAGCGGACCUUCGGGUGCCGGCGAGUGGCGAACGGGUGAGUAAUAUAUCGGAACGUACCUUUCAGUGGGGGAUAACGUAGCGAAAGUUACGCUAAUACCGCAUAUUCUGUGAGCAGGAAAGCAGGGGAUCGCAAGACCUUGCGCUGAUUGAGCGGCCGAUAUCAGAUUAGCUAGUUGGUGAGGUAAAGGCUCACCAAGGCGACGAUCUGUAGCGGGUCUGAGAGGAUGAUCCGCCACACUGGAACUGAGACACGGUCUAGACUCCUACGGGAGGCAGCAGUGGGGAAUUUUGGACAAUGGGCGCAAGCCUGAUCCAGCCAUGCCGCGUGAGUGAAGAAGGCCUCGGUUGUAAG
rnacentral:rRNA from 1 species